AUAAAUCAAAUAAUUAAUAACGUUACAUAAACAAUAAUAUAAUACAAAUUAAAUUAUAAUAAAUCAGAAUAAUAAAAUGCAAACAAUGUAAAAUCCAUGUGGUUGCGAUUUAAUUGAUAUCGUAAUAACAAUAUAUAAAUAUGUAAAGGAUAUAAAUUAAUUUUACGAUAAAUUCUACAAUGAAUCUAUGAGAAAAUAAAAAUGUAAUCUCUUACCUCUCGAAAGAAAGCGUCGGCUCUUUCGUGAUCGGUCAGUUCAAUUUCGUCGAUUGGAAGUUUUUUUAAUUCAUUUCCCUUAGAUCUUAUAGAAAUAUUCAAGCACUUACAAGUGGCGUGCAUCUUAUACAAAUACCUUUCCGUUUAAAACGGUUAACUUUUCCUUUGGGGAAAAAAAAAAAGGAAUUUCCACCGUUUCGAUGUAUCCCCCUCAAGUGCGAUGAUCAGUGCUAACAAAGAAACUUCUUUACCGAAUAAAAUAUAUACUCUUCGUUUAUACCUCCUACCGGUUUUCCUUUAAUUUUUUACGAUUAUUCUCAUACAAUGUCAUUCGACGAACGAUUCCACUGAUUUCUAUCGAUAUUCCGGUAUUUGGUUAUUGAAAAAUUGCCAGUAGUUUACACAGAACAGAGACAGAUAUAUAUAUAUAUCUGUAUAUAUAUAUAUAUAUAUAUAUAUACGUGUUCGAACAGCGAAACAGUAGGUCAACGCACAGUGUGCGAGUUGCCGGAGCAAUGCAAAGCUUUUCACACACGUGUGAGAAUACACGAUUCGUUCUUCCUCUCUACCCCGCUCUUCACUAACUCUUAUACAUGUGUAAACGACUGACUAAAAGAGCAACGAGAAUAGUGUGGGAGAGAAAGGAGAAAGAGAGAAAGAGUGAGAAAACGGAAAAGAGAGAGGGAAGAGUGAGAGAGGUGGGAGCAAGAGAGAGAGAGAGAGAGAGAGAGAGAGAAAAAUUGAGAUAGAAAAUCAAAUGAAGAUAAGCUAAUUCUAUUUCAACAAUAUUUUCAAAUUAAAUACAAUUUUCAUUCUAUUUCGAAAGAAACUUUCGUGUUAUCCAUUUUAUUUACCUAUCAUAUCAGUUUUUAUGAUAGGAUUUAUUUUAAGAGAUAUAGUGGCAAGUAUAUCAUAAGAUUUGAUUUUAUCAAAAGUGUUUAUCUAUCUGUUUUAGGUAAUUCUACUUUGCUUUUAUAUAAAUAUCUAUUAAUUUUUUUCUAUGUUUAUUCAAACAUUAAUAGUUCUACAAAAUGUUUAAAAUAUAAUUAGAUUAAGCGAUGCAAGAAUAAUAGGAAUACAUAUCAUAUGUAUUUACGGAUCUUUGAAAGAAAUACCAAAAGUACUCACUAAAAAUAUACACUGAUUUAUGAAUACGUACGUACAUACAUGCAUACAUAUGUAAAUGCGUACGUGAUCGCACUAGACAAAAACAUACUCGCUAGUCAAUUGAUCGAUUGUAAUACGUGACAGUUUAAAUAUCCAUUAAAAAACAAAAUGAGUUAUUAAAUUUUAUUAUGUAUCUUUAAAUAUAGUAUAUUAAAUAUUGAAACAGUAAGAUAUAUAUAUUUA